GGAGAGGUGGCCGAGCGGUCUAAGGCGCACGCCUGGAGAGCGUGUGACGCCCGCAAGGCGUCCGUGGGUUCAAAUCCCACCCUCUCCGCCA
rnacentral:tRNA from 1 species